UUCCUACAUGGUUGUAUACGAUAUCUAUGAACUCAGCUGAAAUGUUCCCAGAUUGUGUUCACUCUGCAAACUUCUCUGACAGACAGAGGCAGGGAGCCUCACUGGAGAGAGCUGGGGCCUGGAGACCUGAGGGUGUGUGCCUGAGUUCUCGCCCUGCCGCCCUUUGAGGAGUGGUUACUGUGCAUCGGUCAUGAAACCAACUUGAUUUUAGUUUUUUCACCUUGGAAACAGGGCCUAAAUGCCCCCAUCUUGCCUCCUUUCAGGGUUGUGUGAGGAUCAGCCAGGGAACCUAUGUCCCAGUGCCUUGUAAACUGCACAGACAUGCCGUGGUUCCGUUACUGGCGUUUUUGGUGAUGAGUCACUAUCCACAAAAAUGCACCCAGUUCUGGGAACAAAAAACCACUCAUAUCCUUGACUAUUGUUCUAGAUGGGGUACCCAAUAGCUCUUCUUUCCCUGCCCCCAGACACACAGUGCUAUUGAACGUGAAUGGAGGAUGCCCAGCAAGAUAACCUCUCCCACCUCUGGGCACUGGCCGCUCAGACACUAGCUACUUGGGUACUGCCAGGUCCUGCAGAAGCCAGAAGGUGAGUGAUUUAUGGAUGCUACGGCCAGGAGCCAACCUGAGCACUCUCGCGACCUGAAGCUAUGAUCCGAUCUGGUGAAGGGGUAAUACAUCUCUCCUAGCUCAGCAUGUGCAGGAACAAUUCACCAAGGCUGAGUGGAAGGGUCAGGAACAAAGCAAGUGAAGACACCUGGCUCACAGGGCAAUGUCUCCCCAUACUGCACUGGAAGCCUGAAGUCUGGCCCCAUGGAGACCUCACCAUCCCCACACAGGGGAGCCCCAGGGCUUGUGUAUACCCCUCCAAACUCAAUGGGAGACGACACUGACAGGACGGUGGGCCUUCUUUCGCCAACCUGAGGCUUCCUGUCUGAGGACCUAGCACGGACCUAGUGCAGAAAAAGGCCAGAAAACAAGGUUUUGAUACAUGAAGGAGCUGGUUCUACUUUACUUACCCUCAACCUGGGGGAGAAAUUAUAACAUCCAAAUCAUGUCUACAGACUAGAGACCUGACAAAGUUUUGAAGAUAUCAGCUCUUGAAGGUUAAGGGUCUGUAACCAUCAUGUUUAUAAACAUAUACUGCACUGGUUCCACUUAGCCUUUCAAAUAUAAAUAAAUUAUUAGGGCUCAUUAUGGAUUAGGCACUGUCCUAGGAACAGUAAACAGAAAAAUGAGUUAAAAUGUAUAUGCUGCAGCUGGGAGUUUACACCUGGCAGGGAGACAGUGACAUGGAAUGAAAUACGAACCAGAGUGUCCUGGGUGAGAAGGUGUAUAGGGUACAGCUCACACAGCUCUGGAGGAGAAAAAGCUCAGCAGAGGUGACCCUUAGACGCAGUCUCAGCCCAGGCUGGAGGGCUGGAGGGGCAGUCUAGAUAGAGGUAAGAGCUUGACCAACCAUCCAGAGCAGCCUAUUAGGAGAACUGCAAGCAUUUCAGCAUGGAAGGGCUUAGGAGAGGCUUAGGAGGAACAGUCAAGAUAGCAUGAGAGCAGGGUCAGGCCUGGUUAGUACUUGGAUGGGAGACCACCUAGGAAUACCAGGUGCUGUGGGCGUUUAAAAAAAAAAAAAAAUAGCAUGAGAAUGUCAGACAAGAGGCCAGGUCACAGAGCACUGGGAAUCCUUGUGAAGAGUUGGGAUUCUACUCUAUAAAUAAUGGAAGACCACCAGAAUAAAGAAGACAUCAGGGAAAGUCGGUUGGGGUGUGGGUGAGAGAGCUGUUAUGUGGAGCCAGGCAGGAAUCCACAUGAGAGCUGAGGGAAUAAAAAGGAGGGGACUGGAAGGGUGCACGGGAAUCAAGGCUGACUCACAGUUCUCAUGGUGUUUCUAAUGAAAAAGAUGCAAAAAGGAAAUGGGGAACAGGUCUGGGAGAAGGAAGUUACUCAUUUCAUUUUGUUCUUAUAUACAUGUCCAUGUAUAUAAUUUUAUGAAUCAUGUGGGUUGUUAUGAACUAAAUGUUUGUUCCCCCUCCUCCAAAAUUCACAUGCCAAAGCCCUAAUCCUCAGUGUAAUAGUAUUAGGAGGUGGGGCCUUUGGCAGGUGAUUAUGUUCAGAUGAGGUCAUGAGAGUGGGGCCUCCAUGGUGGGAUUAGUGCCCUUAUAAGAAGAAGAGACACCAGAGCUUCCUCCCUCUGCCAUAUAAGAAUACAGCAAGAAGCUGGCCAACUACAAGCCAAAAAGAAGGACCUCACCAAGAACCGAAUCUGCCAGCACUUUGACUUAGACUUCUCAGCCUCUAGAACCAUGGGAAAUAAAAGUCAUUUCAGGCCCCCAGUCUAUGGUAUUUUGUGAUAGCAUCCUGAGCUGACUAAGAUGUGAGUUAUUUUAAUAGCUACCCAAUAUUGUAUCCAUAAUAAAGCAUAAUAUUCUUAAUAGCUCCUUUGUCAUCGGACAUUGUUUUAGCUUUUCGUGAUUAAAACAAUCCUCAAAUAUCUUUA